GCGCCGUGGGCCGAGCUCCGGGUGGAGGGCAGGCUCCGGGUGGAGGGCAGGCCGGCGCCUGGGGCGAGGGAGAGGACGCCCAGGGCCCCGAGGACUUGCGACAGCAGCCUCUAGCCCGGCCCGCUGCCCGGAGGCUAGAACUCACCUGCAGAGCCAAACCUGGCCCGGGGCCACUGACUGGCUGCCAGACUGGGGGACGUCACCCCCCAACCCCCGCAUUCGGACCUUAAUUUCUGUUUUCACUGUGUAAUACUGACCUGCCAAAAACCUGAUGUGUGGACUAGGAUGGCCUUCAACUCACAGAAUUCCGUCUGCCUGCUUCUCCCUCCGGACUGCCGAGAUUAAAAGUGUGCACCACCAUGUAGUGCAGGGCCCAACAUUAAUAUUCUUUUCACCACUAAGAAUAUCAAACACUAAAGAGAUAAACCUUUGUUCAGCUGCCAGAAUAUCUAGGCUGGAAACUGGGCUCCACAAUCUACUAACUAUAGUUGCCCAGGUAAGACAGAACCUCUCCAGGGCCAUGGGUCCUCAUUCCCUUCUUCUCUGUGAGAGUUAACUAAAUGAAUAUUCGCUUGGUACAGGGUCUCUUUCCAUCCUAGGAGAAGCCAUGCAGUGCUUCUGGGCCUUCUUGUCCUCUUCAGGAAAACAAAGCUAACAAUUACUGCCUGAGUUCAGAAGACAUCUAAAGAUCUACAAAGGAAAGCUGAUAAUGCGCCUUCUCCUAGGGAUUCUUAAGUAAGGAUGGUCAAAACAAGAAGUCAACUAUGUUUACUUAGGACUACAAUGUAUGUAAUCUUGGGUUUAGCCAAAGUAGCAGUCCUCUCUCUCCUCUCUCAACUCUAAGCCCAAAUAAUGCGCGUGCGUGCACACACACACACACACAGUUUACAAUUUUAUUUACAAAAGGAAAUUCUUUAAAACAAAUUUUUUAAAAUGUGGGGUGUGGUGGUGCGCACCAUAAAUCCUAGCCCUCAGGAGGCACAGGAAGAAGUGAGUUCAAGAACAGCCUCACAGGAGGCAUGGAGGUUUGUAUGCUCACAGAUGAGCACUAGGGGAACCUGGAAUGUUAAACAUCAGGAUUGUUCCUUCAAGAGAAAGGAUGCAAUCAAUACCUUUUACCUGGUCAGAAGGCUGAAGCAACAUGCUUCCCAGCCUGGUGACCUCUUCGCUAUAUGUGUGGCCAGAGACUUUUCCCAGCGCUGGACCCCUCCCCUAGCCAAUCUAUAGAAUCUAUCUUUAUGAACUUUACGAAGAGUUUCAAUGUAGUCAUGUCUGAUCUGUAUUUAGCUUUGUUUGUUCCUCAAGGAGAUCUAAGUAUGCUUUGUUGUGUACACAGGAUUGAGUUCAUUAUCACCGAAAGGUUUCCCUACCCUGAUACUGGUUUCUCCGCUGAUGCAAUAAAUCAGAUCAGGCUGAAUUAGUCCAGGUUUUAAUCCGAGCAAAGCAUUCCCUGGUGGUCUCAGGGGAGGAGAGGAAAUCAUGAGGCUGCUCCCAAGGGAGGGGGCCUUAAGUGCCCUCGGGAGGAGUCGCUGCUUGGUAGGCUUUCUUUUUUUUUUUUCUUUUUUUUUGACUUUUUAAAAAAAAUCUUAAUUUUUAUUUUGUUUUAGGAGUAGAGUGUUUUCAUCUCAGGCCUCUGGAGCUGGAGUUACACACAGCUACGUGAGCAGUCAUGUGAAUUCCAUGAAUCGAAUGAGAAUCCUUUGGAAGAGUAAUCAGUGUUCACAACCACUGAAAACUCUGUAGCCCUCAAUAAUGAUUUAGCUUUUGUUUUCUUUUGUCUUUUUAGAUGUGGUCAAGAGAAUUUCCACUUCCUCAGAGAGCUGGGAGGCUUUCUUGGGCAGGGUCUAGAGAGAAAGAGAUGGGGCCAAGGUAGAGCUUCCACUUAAUCAAUCACCAGGAUAGUUUUCACCAAAUUGUGCUGUGCUUAUAUAUACCUGAAAUGAACCACUUGAAGUCAGACCCUAGAAGUUUGAACCGACACAGGCCUACUGAGUCAUGCUGAACAGAACUACCUUCUUGACUCCCUCAACUUGUCACUGCUGGCCAUGAAGGUCGCACAGACCCCCACACAGUCUGAUCUACAUAGUGAGCUCUAGACUAGGCAGGGCUAUACAGUGAGACCCUUGUCUCAAAAACUAAAACAAAAUAACAGAAAUAAGUAAACACCUCAUAUUUUCAACUUAAUUUUUAAACUUUGUUUAAACUGCCUGGUUUUACCUUCUUUAGUGCUAGGAUUGAAGGAAUGCACCUCCACUCCCAGUUUUUGUUUUAAGAUUUUCCUUCAGGAUUUUAAAAUUAUUUUGAAUUAAGUGUACAUGUAUCUGUGUUUGGGCAUGUACACAUGAUUGCAGGUGGCUGUGGAAGCCAGAGGUACUGUGGCCCCUUUACCUGGAGUCACAGGCAAUUGGUUGAGAGCUGUGGACAUGGAAACACAACUUGGGUGCUCUGUGAGGAGAGUAUGUGUUCUCAACUGCUGAGGCAUCUUGUCUUUCAAGCUCUUUGGUUGCAUUUUUUCUAGAUUUUUUUAUGCAGAUGAGUGUUUUGUCUGCAUGUAUGUCUGUGUUACCAUAUGUAUGCCGUGUCCACAAAGGUCAAAAGAGAGCAUUAGAUCCCCUGGAACUAGAGUUACAAAUAUGAGAAAUCAUAUGGGUGCUGGGAACCCACCCAAGUCCUCUGGAAAAGCAGCCAGUGCUCUAAACUGCUGAGCUAGCUCUCCAGCCCCGUGUUGCAUUCUUAGUGGUGACAGAGCUACUUCUAUUGCCCAGACAACAGAGACAUAUAUGCUAUUCACUGAGGAGAAAAAAGUAUCCCAUUUCAUACACUUCAUGUAGAGUAAAUGAAAAAAUAUCUUGGUAUUUGGUAAAGUGUAGUAUUCAUUUUAAUUGACAAAUGCUAUUAUUUACAAAUAUAUUAGCUAUCCAUUCCCAGUCUCAUAUUUCUAUGGUUUCUUUUUGACAUUUCAGUUCACUUGAAGUCUUUAUAUGUGAAUUGUGUCAGUUUACAAUAAGUAAUUUCUGAGUAAGUAUAACAUCUUAAAUAUGGAUACACAUAAUCUGUAAUGAAAGGAAAUCAAUGAAAAAAAGACUUUUACCCAUUCCUUACCAUGCUAACUCAAGUGUGCUAUGAAGUAAAUUGACAACAUUAAGUAACGAUCACCAUUUUCAUUUUUAGAACUUUGUCAUCAUCUGGAACAGAAACUUAUCCUUUAGACAGUAACUCUCCAUUCCCACUUUCCCUACCUUAUAAGCUUUAUUCUGUUGUGGCUAUUUGAAUGUUCUUUUUCUAUGGAUCUAUUUAAUGGGAUCAUACCUGCACUUCAUGACCAGCUAGUUUCACUUAGCACAAUGUAUUCAAGGUUCAUUUUUUUGUGUUUAUCUGCUCAGACUACCAAAACUAUCAGCAGACUGGGUGCCAGAAACAACAGGAAUUUAUUUUCUUGAUGUUGGACAGCUAGAGGUCCAAGAUCUGUUUACUGUGGUUGUUUUCUGAUUGGAUAGUUGAUUCUUGUACCCUGUAGAGCCUCUUCUGCAUAUGCAUGGAAGGAUGAGAGCAGGCAUUCUCUAAGAUGUCUUCCUGCCUUUGUGUUUUGUUUUUUAGCUUCUCACAUCAUUUGAUUUUUAUAGAUACGGUGUUUGCCUAUAUAUAUGGAAUUGUAUCACAUGUGUGAAGUACCUGUGGAAGCCAGAAGGCAUCAGAUUCCCUGGAACUGGAGUCAUACAGUUGUAAGGUGCCAUAGGAGUGCUGGGAAAUAAACCCUCGUCCUCUACAAGAGCGGUGUCAAGCUCCAAUUUGUUGUUGCUUUUUAGGAGUGAAAAUUCCUUUCUUUUUCACAAGUUAGAAACUUAGUUGGGUAAAGUCUGCCCUAAGGGCGCGACUCCCUUUAUCAUUAAAUUUCCAAGUGUUCUUUUUAACUUAUACUGUACAUUUUGUAUGUCCUUUUCAUUGUAUACCUGCAUAAGAAUGAUUACAAAUAACCACAUGACAAUGGCAAUAUUAGGCUAAUAUGAGUUCAUUACAUUUCAAUUUAGUCUAAGACAGAUUCUUAGGACAUAGGCAAAAAGCAUAUUCUUUGCUGAAAUAUCACAAGAAUGAUCUCUAGCAGUUGCUAAUACCGUUCCCCUCUGAAAUGUUGUAAGUGGGCCUCCACAGUUCAUGUGGCUCUCAAAAUUGUCAUCUUCUAAGCUCCUACUAGGCCUGUUAAGCCCCAUUACAGCUCCAAUCACUCUCCCUGUCCAAAGUCUCACAUUUGGAGGAAUGUCCACAUUCCUCCGAAAAUAGCAUAGUUGGGCCUGUCCAUUAAUAUCCCACCCCUGGUACCAGCUUCUGUCUUAAUUUUCUAUUGUUGUGAUAAAACACCAUGACCAAUGCAACUUAUAGGAGAGAGUUUAUUUGAGGCUAAUAUUGUCCAUGAUCAUCAUAGCAGAGGACAUGGCCCUAAAGCAGUAGCCGAGAGCUCACAUCUUGAGGUACAAUCAUGAGGUACAAUCAUGAGGCAGAGAGAGACUGGGAAUGGUCUGCUGAAUCCUCCAAGCCCACCCCUAGUGACACACUUCCUCCAACAAGGCCACACCUCCUAAUCCUUCCUAACCAGUUCUACCAACUGGAGACCAAGCAUUAAAACAUGUGAGCCAGGGAGGGAGAGGGAACAGGGGUUGGUUUGUAAAAUGAAAAAAAUAAAUAAAAUAAAAAAAAAAAAACGUAUGAGCCUAUGGGGGCCACUCUCAUUCAAACCACAAGCAGCAAGAGCUUCUAACGACCAACCCAUCUUUCCAGUGCAUCUUCUUUUCUUAUAAGGACACCUACCCUAUAAGAUCAGAAUCUUUCUCUUAUGAUUUUAUUUAAUACAAGUUACCUCUUUAAAGGGAAGUCAUAGAGUCCUGUUUAAAGUUAGGAAUCUAGUCUAGAACAUUCUAGUGUUUCCUCUCUGCCUCUGCCUCCCAGAGUGCUGGGAUUAAAGGUAUGUGCCACCACUUUAAAAGCCCUUCUUUUUUUUUUUUU